rnacentral:tRNA from 1 species
GCUGAAGUGGUGAAAUGGCAGACACGCAUGAUUCAGGUUCAUGUGCCGCAAGGCAUGGGGGUUCAAGUCCCCCUUUCAGCACCA